rnacentral:tRNA from 1 species
AAGUGGUUAGUUUAAUAAAAACGCUUGAUUUCGGCUCAAGCACUUAUGGUUAAAUUCCAUAACCACCUA